AUGUUGGGAGCAUCUCUCAUUGUCCUUCUGGGGAUCUGGUGCACAGGAUGCAAUUCCCAGCCUACAGUGAUUCAGGAAUCCUCCAUGUCACCUGCCCCAGGACAGACAGUCAAACUCUCCUGUUCCCUGAGCAGUGGACAAGUAACAUCUUAUGAACAAUCCUGGUAUCAACAGAAAGAAGGAGGUUCUCCAAAAUUCCUUUAUUAUUACUACAGCAGUGCAACCGCAGGCACUGGAGACCUCAGCCGCUUCUCUGCCUCCAAGGAAAGCAGCCAAAAUAAAUGGUAUUUGACCAUCAGGGACAUCCAGCCAGGAGACGAGGCUGAUUAUUACUGUGCUAUGUGGUAUGGUGCUAGUAGUGCGUUCCACAGUGAUACAAACCCAGGAGGAACUGAGACAAAAACCUCCAAGAGAAGAAAGAGCAGCAGCAUUCAGGAGUCCUUUCAGUGA